CCUACGGGUGGCAGCAGUGAGGAAUAUUGGUCAAUGGCCGGAAGGCUGAACCAGCCAAGCCGCGUGAAGGACGAAGGUGCCACGCAUUGUAAACUUCUUUUGACAGGGAAGAGCAGAAGACGGUACCUGUCGACUAAGCCACGGCUAACUACGUGCCAGCAGCCGCGGUAAUACGUAGGUGGCAAGCGUUGUCCGGAUUUACUGGGUGUAAAGGGCGUGUAGCCGGGCUGACAAGUCAGAUGUGAAAUCCGGGGGCUCAACCCCCGAACUGCAUUUGAAACUGUUGGUCUUGAGUAUCGGAGAGGCAGGCGGAAUUCCUAGUGUAGCGGUGAAAUGCGUAGAUAUUAGGAGGAACACCAGUGGCGAAGGCGGCCUGCUGGACGACAACUGACGGUGAGGCGCGAAAGCGUGGGGAGCAAACAGGAUUAGAUACCCUUGUAGUC
rnacentral:rRNA from 1 species